rnacentral:lncRNA from 1 species
GAAUGUUAUCGCUAUGGGGAAGAGAAUCACGCUGGCAUUAUCCCAGAAAAGAACAUCACAGCAUCAGCGCGUGAAAACAAAAUUUUCAUAUAACAUCAUAGCAACAUAAUUUCACACAGGUAUUAAGUGUGUAGAAUCCCCAGGCGCAGGACAGCUGGUAAUUUCUGGUGUCCAUAUUCACUGGUUAUCACAGAAUAAGGAUGCAACUUCGAGUAAGAUCUAUUAUGUUCAGCCAGCAUUUGUAAUGCCUGAAUUAGCACCUUGAAACCAAUGCCA